rnacentral:lncRNA from 1 species
AGAUGGUGAAGGAUUUUCAUCCUGGUCCAAGCAUGGAGGCCUCUCUAGAAACCGUCCCUUCCAGCUCCAUGAGGGGUGAACUCUGAGCUCAGAGGCCAUGGGGCCAAGUGCAGAAAAUGGCUUUGAACUCUGGAGGAAGGAAAGAAGCCACCCUCCAGGAAGGAGUAAGAACCGCUCUGGAACAUUCCCAGGAAAGGUCGCUGGGGGGCAGACCUGAGAGGUUCCCCGGACUCGGCGGACCCAGAUCCCCCGCAGGGCAGCCCCUGGUGAGUCAGGGCCUGAGUCAGCGCCCUCCGCCUUCCCAGAGGCCCCGCCAGGACCUGCAGCCCUGGGCGCCCCAGCAGCCCGGCCCUGCUCAGCGCAGCUCUGGGUUGGAACUUGCACUUUCCAGUAACUCGGACCUCCCCCCGGCCGCCUUCCCAGGCGCCACCGGGCCCAGCAGAUCGUCACCGUCCAGGUGCAGGGUGGGGGUGUGUGAAAGUCAGGCCUGGGACCCGGGCAAGUUGCUGCCGUGCCCUCUGGCUUCCCGGGGGACAUCCUUCACCUUUGUGCGCCCAAACCCUCUGUGCUGCGGUUCCAACCCCCCUCCACAUUCCCGCCUGCUCCUCCGGGCCUGCCCGUUCCCUCUGCCUUCCUGGGAACCUCCCUCUAUCUCCGCAUCUUCCGCCGCUCCCUUCCCUGCGGCAGCCGGCGGGCUCCGACUCUCGCUCUUCAGGGAACACCGCCCUUGGCGCCACGCCCACCUCCACCCGCGGCCACCUUCCCUCCCUCCCACCGCCAGACCUUCAAGACAGGAUCUACCCCGGGCGGCCCCCAGCACAGGUCUCAGCCCCCUCCAGACUGGGGUUGUCGCCACCCUCCACUGAAAUGGCGGCAGCCAGCUCCCUCCUGCCGCAGCCGGUGGCAGCCAGCUCCAGGCCUGGCCGGCCCCGCCCACCCUGUGUCUCGAGUGGCACCCACGGCGCUGUCCCUGUCCCGCCUGUCUUCUCGUGACCUCAUCCGGCUCCAGACUCUCACAUGUUUACGCCUUCAGCCCUGCCCAGCCCUGGACCCCAAGUCCCCUCCAAUAUUUCUUUUUCCUUUCUUGUAUUUUUAUUUAUUUAUUUAUUUAUUUAUUGAGACAGUUUCGCUCUUGUCGCCCAGGCUGGAGUGCAGUGGCGCGAUCUCGGCUCACCGCAACCUCCGUCUCCCCGGUUCAAGCGAUUCUCCUGCCUCAGCCUCCCAAGUAGCUGGGAUUACAGGCGUGUGCCACCACGCCCGGCGAAUGUUGUAUUUUCAGUAGAGACGGGGUUUCAGCAUGUUGGUCAAGCUGGUCUCUAACUCUUGAUCUCAAGUGAACCACCAGCCUCAGCCUCCCAAAGUGCUGGGAUUACAGGCGUGAGCCACCGCGCACGGCUAUCCCUUCCAAUAUUUCCGAGGCCAGCUGCCCAGAGAAGGAGGGCUGGGUGGAGAGGACCGUGCCAGCAGCAGUAGGCCUGGGCCAGGAGACAGGCACGCACCUCCGCGGUCUCUGGCGAGUCUAUGUCCACACAGCGGCAGGACCUCCACCCCCAGCCACCUGCAGCAGCCCCACAUCUCCACCGGGUCACCCUGCUGACAUCAAGAGUGCCUCCCGCAAUGUCCCAACCCAUGAGGGCUUCUUGGAGCUGAACCAGGGCACCGGCCACUUCUGGAGGGGGGCUGCUCGUGACUUCCGACCUCUGUCUCGCUAGUUGGCAUGAGAAGACUGGACUCCUUCUGCAGGCCUCAGGGCAGAGGCAGAUGUCAGCCCCCAGGGAUGUCACUGCCAGAACCCCAGAUGCCCCAAGCCAUCUGGACUCCCCCUGUGCAGUAUCUCUGCUACAAUAAAAUGUACCCAGAUCUGAGUCCUCUCACCUGGGCGACUGCCAAUGUCCCCUGCGGCCCUAUACCCCGCCCCCAGGAGCCCAGAGGAUCUUUCUUUUUAAAGAUAUUCAGACCUCACAGAUAAGUCUGCCCUGACCAGCCCCUCCCCAGUUCCCAGGCCCUAUCCUGACAACGGCCACAACUUCAGAGCAGCUGAAACCUGCUGUGAGUGAAAAAUGAGAAGCUGUUGUUUUAAUUUUACUUUCUCUGAUUACUAAUGAGGUUAUUUCUUCUCUGCAUAAAAACUUCAUUCGUGUUUAAUUGGAUUUUUGUCUUUUUGUUAAUGUAUAGGAGCUCCUUUUGUUCUUACAUAUAUUAUGAAUUCAAAUUCUUAUAGAUAAAGAUUAAUGUUUAGAGGCAAAAUCAUGGUUCUCAUGCAAAUACAAAUUGAACACACCUAAGAUUUUAUUUAACUCGUUAAUAAGGGAACCAGUAAGGUUAAA